CGUGCGGUCGAUUUUGCAGUUAUCACCUGCGUAGCUCGUUCCGCAAAGUUAUAAGCGCCGUUGGGCCCUUGCUUGGUCGGUGACUCAAUGGUUUGUCGCCGGACGCGUCGAGCAGCGAAAACAAAAUCCGGCGCGGGAAGCGCCAUUCGAGCAGCAGCAGAGUUAUAGAGAGAGAGAGGACGGUCUUCCCGCGGGGAUUAAAGGGCCUCCAAAUGAAAAUUACACUCGCAUUAUAUGUAUGUGUACGACUCUCGGCAACGGAUAUCUAGGCUCUCGCAUCGAUGAAGAACGUAGCGAACUGCGAUAGUUGGUGUGAAUUGCAGAAUCCCGUGAACCAUGGAGUCUUCGAACGCAAGUUGCGCCCGAAGCCAUUAGGCCGAGGGCACGUCUGCCUGGGCGUCACGCACUGCGUCGGCCCCCCUCACCCGUGUCCCGAAAGGGUCGCGGGCCCAAGCGUGGGGGCGGAGGAAGUUGGCUUCCCGUGCAGCGUUCGCGGCUAUCCGGAAACGCGGUUCCCUCGCCGCGGACGUCGCGACAAGUGGUGGUCGUCGAGAUUUCGCGCGAGUUGCGGGCAAGCCGCGGCGGGGAGAGCAUCUCGGACCCCGUGCGAGAUGAGUCCUUCAGCGAGGGGCAAUUCGGAGGAUUGCGACCCCAGGUCGGGCGGGGCUACCCGCCGAGUUUUAAGCAUAUCAAUAAGCGGAGAGAAUCUU
rnacentral:rRNA from 1 species